GUGAUUUCAAACUGUUCGUCUCUCUCGCCAUUCUGUGUCGCCCACCACAAUGUACAACCAAGGUAGGUCGCCUUGUCAUUUUACCUUUUUGGCCUCAUUUUCUUGCACCUCCUUGCCUAGCAUCUGCAGUGUUCUACUCUGAUGAAGUGAUUGUUGUAGAAAUUUCAUAUUUGUUGGGGAUGUGUAUUUUCUGUACAUGAUUCUGUACUUUAGUUUUGAAUAAAAGAUCAUGUCCCAUCUUUAACCUUUGC
rnacentral:lncRNA from 1 species